rnacentral:rRNA from 1 species
CUUGUUUCGUAUUUGGAUGGGAUACCACCUGGGAAUACCAG